GGAAUCGCUAGUAAUCGCGGAUCAGCAUGCCGCGGUGAAUACGUUCCCGGGCCUUGUACACACCGCCCGCCACACCAUGAGAGUCGGGGACACCCGAAGUCCGUAGCCUAACUGCAAGGGGGGCGCAGCCGAAGGUGGAUUCGAUAAUUGGGGUGAAGUCGUAACAAGGUACC
rnacentral:rRNA from 1 species